rnacentral:rRNA from 1 species
CAUGCAAACAGAACUCCGACCGGAGACGGAAGGAGUGCUUUUAUUAGAUCAAAACCAAUCGGUGGCGGGUUCGCUCGUCAUCGUACAACUUGGUGACUCUGAAUAACUUUAUGCUGAUCGCACGGUCUCGCACCGGCGACGCAUCUUUCAAAUGUCUGCCUUAUCAACUGUCGAUGGUAGGUUCUGCGCCUACCAUGGUUGUAACGGGUAACGGGGAAUCAGGGUUCGAUUCCGGAGAGGGAGCCUGAGAAACGGCUACCACAUCCAAGGAAGGCAGCAGGCGCGCAAAUUACCCACUCCCGGCACGGGGAGGUAGUGACGAAAAAUAACGAUACGGGACUCAUCCGAGGCCCCGUAAUCGGAAUGAGUACACUCUAAACCCUUUAACGAGGAUCAAUUGGAGGGCAAGUCUGGUGCCAGCAGCCGCGGUAAUUCCAGCUCCAAUAGCGUAUAUUAAAGUUGUUGCGGUUAAAAAGCUCGUAGUCGAAUCUGUGUCUUGCGCCGCCGGUUCAUCGUUCGCGGUGUUAACUGGCGUGUCGCAGGACGUCCUGCCGGUGGGCUUAGCUCGCAAGGGCGGCCCAACUCAAUCCUGCCGCGGUGCUCUUCACUGAGUGUCGAGGUGGGCCGGCACGUUUACUUUGAACAAAUUAGAGUGCUUAAAGCAGGCUAAAACUUCGCCUGAAUACUGUGUGCAUGGAAUAAUGGAAUAGGACCUCGGUUCUAUUUUGUUGGUUUUCGGAACCCCGAGGUAAUGAUUAAUAGGAACGGAUGGGGGCAUUCGUAUUGCGACGUUAGAGGUGAAAUUCUUGGAUCGUCGCAAGACGGACAGAAGCGAAAGCAUUUGCCAAAAACGCUUUCAUUGAUCAAGAACGAAAGUUAGAGGUUCGAAGGCGAUCAGAUACCGCCCUAGUUCUAACCAUAAACGAUGCCAGCUAGCGAUCCGUCGACGUUCCUCCGAUGACUCGACGGGCAGCUUCCGGGAAACCAAAGCUUUUGGGUUCCGGGGGAAGUAUGGUUGCAAAGCUGAAACUUAAAGGAAUUGACGGAAGGGCACCACCAGGAGUGGAGCCUGCGGCUUAAUUUGACUCAACACGGGAAACCUCACCAGGCCCGGACACCGGAAGGAUUGACAGAUUGAGAGCUCUUUCUUGAUUCGGUGGGUGGUGGUGCAUGGCCGUUCUUAGUUGGUGGAGCGAUUUGUCUGGUUAAUUCCGAUAACGAACGAGACUCUAGCCUGCUAACUAGGCGUAUUUUGACAUCGCAAAGGCCCGCCGGUGCGGGGGUUCGCCUCUGUAUCGCGCGCGGUUUUUACUGUCGGCGUACAAACAAUUCUUCUUAGAGGGACAGGCGGCUUCUAGCCGCACGAGAUUGAGCAAUAACAGGUCUGUGAUGCCCUUAGAUGUUCUGGGCCGCACGCGCGCUACACUGAAGGAAUCAGCGUGUCCUUCCCUGGCCGAGUGGCCCGGGUAACCCGCUGAACCU